UACGUAGGUGGCAAGCGUUGUCCGGAUUUAUUGGGUUUAAAGGGUGCGUAGGCGGUCUAUUAAGUCAGUGCUGAAAUAUCCCGGCUUAACCGGGAGGGUGGCAUUGAUACUGAUGGACUUGAGUGCAGUCGAGGUAGGCGGAAUUGACGGUGUAGCGGUGAAAUGCGUAGAUAUCGGGAGGAACAUCAGUGGCGAAGGCGGCUACCUGGCCCAAUACUGACACUCAGGUGCGACAGCGUGGGGAGCAAACAGG
rnacentral:rRNA from 1 species